UGGUCGUUGUAGUGCAUCUC
rnacentral:siRNA from 1 species